CUUGUUUUUCCUCUCAUUAGUUGUUGCCAGGUAACGCGUCACCGCCAUAGGAGUUAGCUGUUGUUUACAUCAGUGUUGCCACGAAAUAGUUUUCUCUAAAGCCAAAAAAGUUGCUAAAUCGGGCAAAUAAAUACCACUUGAAAUGUAAAAAAAAGCCACUUUUAAAGCCACUUUCUCAAAAAUAAAAAUAACUAUUAAAGUGUUGCACUCGUUAAUAAUCCGAAUAAACCAAGAACAAAUACAAA